CAACUGUCCCCAACAAUCACAGCGGUUGCAUUUCCCGGCCUUGCAGCUAGGGGGAGGUCUAGGUUUACUGCUGUGCUACAUUCUGCUGCUGUGUUGUCUUGGUUAAUCUCUUCACUGCAGCAGGCGGGCGCACAGAGGAGGAAGAGGAAGAGGAGAGGUGAAGAGACAGGAGGCUGCCCAACACACAACUCACUGCAGUGACAGAGAGAUUAGUUGUGACUGAAGUGCUGCUGGGACGUUAAUGUGAAAUGUUAGGGUGCUAUUUUGGAGAUGCUGCCAUAAAUUAGCAAUAUUUACUGGUUUGUCACUAAUCAUCCACAAACAGCAUUAUGGGCCAACUGUUCUCUUCAGAAGAAGAGCUUUCUCAAGUGAAGGAUGCGAUUGGUUCUCUCCUCUUCGAUGCCAUGUUGGAAGGCGGUGCCGUACCUGACCUCGGAGUUGUUCACCCUCUCCUCCUAGCCAAUCAGGGUGAGAGCGUUGACUCCCGGGCCAGCCUCCAGAAACAACUGAAACAGCUGCAGGGAGACAUUGGGAAGAGGGCGCCAACGUACCUGAAGGAACUGAUUGGCCGUUUGUCGACCUUCUCGGAUGAGCCACGCCUCGCCGGCUUGGUGGGAUUAGUGGUUACUAUGGUGAUGGAUAUGGCCUAUACGUCAUCGUCAUCAGUUGUGAAAGGGAAGUCGGCAGGGUCAUCAUCAUGCCAGAGAGUCUGGGAGCUCCAGGAGGUGACGGAGGAGUACCUCAAGCGCUGUAGGAUCAACCUGAGUGACAAAAGCAAAUUGACCCAGGACUCCAUCAGACUGGAGGCCCAGCUCAGCCUCACCCUCACCCAGCUGAAGACGUGUCUGCUGGGGGGAGACUGUGACUCCAGGUCUCUGAGGCACUGGGCCAGUGGAGCAGCAUUUCAUACCCAGAUGUUGGUUCACCUGGCUGGCCUUGAGGGUCAGGAUGAGCCCCUGGCUGCAAGGACUGCACUGGAGCAAUACAAGGAAGACCUCACACAGAUCGUACCUGCUUACAGGCGUUAUAAGUCUAAUACAGUGUGCGUUGUGAAAUGUCGAGGGGGUCUUCUGGCAUCAUGUGACCCCUCCGGUGAGUUGCCAGAGGAGGGAUCAAUGACGGGACUCACUGUGACGGACAGAGAGACAGGAAAGAGUGUGACCAUCCCUCUAUCUGCCAUGAGGACGGAGACAGGGAGAAGAAUGAGAGUCUCUGGGCCUGAUGCUACAGCUGUGUCCUCCUCCAUUGACCUGGACCUGAUCACUUCAGAUCAAUACGCCCAGGCAUACCUGCACCACCUGUUCUCUGAUAAGGGACCUGUGGCAGAGCUGGAGAAGUACUUCAUCAAGGCUAAUGAUAAUCUGAGAACACUACGAACAGAAGCAGGAUGUACAAACAAGAAAGGCGUGAGAGACGGGAUAGAACAAAGUGAUGGAGUGCAUGUGAAAGCCCAGUCACAGGGCAUUGAUACAGAACAAACAGUUGACAGCGGUAAAGGAGAUAAUCAGGGCAAGACGGACAGGAGAGGAAGACGAGACGAGACGGAGGAACGUGAGCAGAGAGAUGAAGGUUUGCGGCUGAGUAUUGUGGAGACGCAGCCCCAUGAGAGCCAGCGCACAGCAGGAAGCACGUCGGCCCUCAGAAACUCAGAAACAUGACGGACUUCUCUAAUGUUGCUUUUAAUUUAUGCUGAGAGCUUAAUCGAUUGCUGCAUAGAAGCUGAAUAGCAGGUUUACUGAUUUGUCUGCAAUGCUACACUACAAAUGUGUCCACCGUGGAAACGAUAUGAACUUUGGGUUUGUUGAAUUCUAUUAAGUGUGUGUCACAUUUAACACAUGUCAGUCAGUCAAUUUCAAUAAAUGCUUACAAGCCGUAAGAACUGUGCUUCCUAAUUAUUAUUCCGUUUGUAUAAUUUCCUAAUACAAAAAUACAAAUUAACAU
ensembl:lncRNA uncharacterized LOC115020101